rnacentral:rRNA from 1 species
UACGAAGGGGGCUAGCGUUGCUCGGAAUCACUGGGCGUAAAGGGUGCGUAGGCGGGUCUUUAAGUCAGGGGUGAAAUCCUGGAGCUCAACUCCAGAACUGCCUUUGAUACUGAAGAUCUUGAGUUCGGGAGAGGUGAGUGGAACUGCGAGUGUAGAGGUGAAAUUCGUAGAUAUUCGCAAGAACACCAGUGGCGAAGGCGGCUCACUGGCCAAGUAUUGACGCUGAGGUGCGAAAGCGUGGGGAGCAAACAGG